CCUACGGGGUGCAGCAGUCGGGAAUAUUGCGCAAUGGAGGAAACUCUGACGCAGUGACGCCGCGUAUAGGAAGAAGGUUUUCGGAUUGUAAACUAUUGUCGUUAGGGAAGAUAAAAGACUGUACCUAAGGAGGAAGCCCCGGCUAACUAUGUGCCAGCAGCCGCGGUAAUACGUAGGGGGCAAGCGUUAUCCGGAUUUACUGGGUGUAAAGGGAGCGUAGACGGCGAUGCAAGUCUGAAGUGAAAGGCGGGGGCCCAACCCCCGGACUGCUUUGGAAACUGUAUGGCUGGAGUGCAGGAGAGGUAAGUGGAAUUCCUAGUGUAGCGGUGAAAUGCGUAGAUAUUAGGAGGAACACCAGUGGCGAAGGCGGCUUACUGGACUGUAACUGACGUUGAGGCUCGAAAGCGUGGGGAGCAAACAGGAUUAGAUACCCCUGUAGUC
rnacentral:rRNA from 1 species